AGUGAACGCUGGCGGUAGGCCUAACACAUGCAAGUCGAACGGCAGCACAGUAAGAGCUUGCUCUUACGGGUGGCGAGUGGCGGACGGGUGAGGAAUACAUCGGAAUCUACUUUUUCGUGGGGGAUAACGUAGGGAAACUUACGCUAAUACCGCAUACGACCUACGGGUGAAAGCAGGGGAUCUUCGGACCUUGCGCGAUUGAAUGAGCCGAUGUCGGAUUAGCUAGUUGGCGGGGUAAAGGCCCACCAAGGCGACGAUCCGUAGCUGGUCUGAGAGGAUGAUCGCCACAACGGAACUGAGGAAAGGUCCAGACUCCUACGGGAGGGAGCAGUGGGGAAUAAUGGACAAUGGGCGGAAGCCUGAUCCAGCCAUACCGCGUGGGUGAAGAAGGCCUUCCGGUUGGAAAGCCCUUUUGUUGGGAAAGAAAAGCAGCAGGUUAAUACCCCGCUGUUCUGACGGUACCCAAAGAAUAAGCACCGGCUAACUUCGUG
rnacentral:rRNA from 1 species